rnacentral:tRNA from 1 species
GGGAAGGUGGCUCAGUGGUAGAGUGCUUGCUUUGCAUGCAUGAGGCCAUGUGUUCGAUUCCUCACCA